rnacentral:rRNA from 1 species
AGGGCACCACCAGGAGUGGAGCCUGCGGCUUAAUUUGACUCAACACGGGAAAUCUCACCAGGCCCGGACACUGGAAGGAUUGACAGAUUGAGAGCUCUUUCUUGAUUCAGUGGGUGGUGGUGCAUGGCCGUUCUUAGUUGGUGGAGCGAUUUGUCUGGUUAAUUCCGGUAACGAACGAGACUCUGGCCUACUAACUAGACGUUAGAUCCUUUAUGGGUUUGACGAUGCUUCUUAGAGGGACGGGCGGCUUUUAGCCGCACGAGAAUGAGCAAUAACAGGUCUGUGAUGCCCUUAGAUGUUCUGGGCUGCACGCGCGCUACACUGAAGAAAUCAGCGUGUGUUCCCUAUCCGAAAGGUUUGGGAAACCCGUUGAACCUUCUUCGUGAUGGGGAUUGGGGAUUGUAAUUAUUCCCCAUGAACGAGGAAUUCCCAGUAGGCGCGAGUCAUAAGCUUGCGUCGAUUACGUCCCUGCCCUUUGUACACACCGCCCGUCGCUACUACCGAUCGAGUGAUUUAGUG